CUGCAAUCUGUCUGAUAAACAAAAUUAAUCAUCAAUUAACUUUUCUAUCAGCCAAAAGGUACAAAGAGACUAGGAAAAAUGGAAAGCAUAAGACAAAAAAAUAGCAAAGUUAAUAAAUGAUAUUAAUAUUAAGUUUUUCUAAUUUUUUCAGCUUCUUCUGACCAGCAAAAAUUCAAGAAGUGUUAUACGAUAAUGGAAUAUUAUUGCUUUAUAACACUGUCCUGUGAGGUUAAAAACCUUGAUAUGGAGAACACACACACAAAGCUUGUGAAGACAACAUAGUACACAAUGAAACCAUAACUAUAGCAAGAGCAUAAGCAAAAAUGAAGAACUAUGAAAGAAUAUGCACAAGAAAUACAUUUCAACAUCCAGAACAUAAAAUAAACUGUGCUGCUUGGUACAAAUAGAGUUUUGAUUUGCUUUCUUUUUCAGAAUGUUUCAUUAGUGGAAAAGAAAUAUAUAUAUAAUUUUUAUUAUAUUUUUUACUGAAGUGGUUGUAUAACAGCAAUAUCACAGCUGCUUUUGUUCUGAAUAUCAGCUCUCCUGAUAUACGUAUAUAGGUCAACGGCAUGAUAGUGAGUAAUAUUGCUUAACUGUUGUAAACUAUUAACCAACAACAGCAGCUUAUGAAACUAUUUAGCACCUGCCUUGCCCUCUCCCUUUUCAUAAUCAUAUGAACUGGAAGACAAGGUGGAUACGCUUAAAUGUAAGUGAUGGACCACUUCAAAUCGGUGUUUAAGACUCGUGGGAAUCAACUAGAGACAACUAAAAAGUAAGCAUUUCUUGCUCUAACUUGCCUUUAUAAAUUUUAUAUUAUGUAAUUUAUGUUUGCAUUAUGGCAUAUAUAAUUGUUAAAAAUGUAGUCACAGAGUGUACUUUGCCACAACAUGUUCUCUCUAUGUGUUAUGGAUCAAGUGGGGACAUGUGCAUAAAUGUAUAUAACUGGCUUUCCAGCAGAUUCACUUCAGAGGCUGCCAAAACCACUCGUUUGUCUUCAGAGGCCACCAAAACUGCUCGCUUGUCUUCAGAAGUUGCCAAAACCACUCGUUUGUCUUCAGAGGCCACCAAAACUGCUCGCUUGUCUUCAGAAGUUGACCAAAACCACUCGUUUGUCUUCAGAGGCCACCAAAACUGCUCGCUUGUCUUCAGAAGUUGCCAAAACCACUCGUUUGUCUUCAGGGGCGUGUUAAAACGGUCCGUGUGUCUGCACAGACUGCAAAAGCUGCCCGUUCAGCAGCGGCGGUCAGUGGUGUAAUCUCAGCUCUGUUCGUUGUUCUUGAUGUUGUUUGUAUUGUUCAAAAUUCAAUUGAGCUCUCUGAAAUGAAUCAAUCAGCAGACAAAAGAAAUGGCAAAAAUAUCAGAUCAAACAUUUUGAAAUUCCUUCAUCAGAUGAGACAAACAGCUGCUCAUUUUCAGAAGACUCUAGAUGAAAUUAAAGAGGCUAGAGACAAUGCUAUCGAAGAGUUUAAUAAAGAGUUGAAAAACGGCACUUCUUUCCUGAUUAGGCAAAAGCGCAGAGAGAGACGUAAUAGGCUUAUUUCAGUGAGCAUUAUUUUGAUCAGCAUUUUCUUUUUUUCUUUUUUAUUCUAUAGUUCUUUGGAGUUCUUCACAAAUAAACUGCUUGAUCUGAGGUUUGGAUUUUGUUGCUGUUUUUUGUUAUAUGUUACCAUCUGUAAUGUAAUGCACCAAUCUGCACUAUAAUGAUAAUUUUUCUUCAUUUACAGUGAAAAAAAUAUUUUGUUACAAAAAAAAAAACAAAAAAAAAAUGAGUUUACCAAAUUACAAAACUGAACCUAACAUGUACAAAUUGUGUUCAGAGGGUGCGGUGUGCUGACAGAGUCCAAGACGAUAAAGAGCCGUGAAUUGGACUUGGCCCUGUUUACACUUGCUAUUACAGUAAGAUGCAUUCAAACCAUAAGUAGACAGCACUAAAUACAGGUGUAAACGGGGCCUCAAAUGUUUUGAUCUUUCCACUUUCAACUUCUUCCAGAGGUAGCUGAAAACACAUUUGACCAGACUGCUGUCAUGGUGUGGACACUCAUGUGGUCAAAUGCAUUCAAGCAGCUGCUAAAGAUGCCUACUGACCUAAAGUGAUGUAACGAUUGGACAGAGCAGACACACAAUUAUUUGUUACAUUUCACAAAUAAUCUUUAAAACCAACAAGCCAGCUAUGUGUUGGAGUUCUGGGGACGACCCCCGAAAGCAACUAACACCCCAGAAGGCUCAGUUGCCAGGGCUACCAUCUGACAAACACACUGGUUUUAUUGCUCAAAGGAAUGCAGGCAGAGCAACACUCACUUCAUUCACUCAUAGGAAAGACACACAAUGCCAUAGAAAUGGACUCUUCCCUAUUCAUUCACAGACAAACCUUUCUAUGAACACACAUAUCCUUCAGCUCAUUGUGUAUAUUUACUGUUCUUGUACAAAGGGCAGCAGGCAUGAGAUCCCAGAGGAGCUGAGGAUGAUGCAUCAAUGCUGUAGAGCCGGGGGGGAAAUUAUGAAAAAGUAAGAAACAGUAUAGGCCGUAUUUUUCAUCUAUCAUCAUUGGGAACAUGAGAUCUCUGGCCAAAAAAAAAAAAAAAAAGAAAAGAAAUUGGAUGAGGAUGAGGGUCUAUAGUCCCUUCCCCAGAAAUGCAUCUAACACCUCAGAAAGGCAGAACAGGCCUCUGGUUCCAUGGCAACCUGGUUUUAUUGCCCAAAGAAAUGCGGGCAGAGCAAUUCUCAUUUCAUACCCAUAGGAAAGACACACAAUGCCAUAUAAAUGGACUCUCAUUCACAGACAAACCUGUCUUUGACCUUCCUAUCACAUAUCCUUAGGUCAUUGUGUGAACCAAAAGAAAGAAACAAAUAAAAAUAAAAUAAAAUAAAAAUAUUGUAUACUAUUUUAUGCAUGCUUAUGAUAGAACCACUCGUUCAUGUAACCUUACCUUUAGUCAAGUCAUCUUUAUUUAUAUAGCGCUUUUAACAAUACAGGUUGUGUCAAAGCAACUGUACAGCAUUAAUUAGGAAAAUAGUGUGUCAAAUAAUGCAAAAUAACAAUAGUGAACACUCAUUUUCUAGUUAUAGGCACACUGUAAAACCCGACAAGAUCUGAUUAAACAACCCCACAAACAGCAUCACCAGCUCCACUUAUUAAUAACCAGACUGACUUUAUUUCUGUCAGAAGUCAAGGGUCAAGAGCCCAACUAAAGCAAACACUGAUCUCUAAUAUGGUUACUUCAAAUGAAACAAUAAAUCAACAUCUAAACCUUAGUUAAUUCUCAAUCAGAUCUUCUGUAGACGUCUGACAGAAAUAAAGUCAGUCUGGUUAUUAAUAAGUGGAGCUGGUGAUGCUGUUUGUGGGGUUGUUUAAUCAGAUCUUGAGAGAUUUAAUGUAUUUUAUUUCAGUUUAUUUUAUCUAAGGCUGUGUCUGAAGUCAGUUGUAGUUCCUUUCUCUCUUUUCUUCAGUAAUUCUGUUUGUUAACAGCAGGUGUUCAUCACUAAUGCUCAAUUAUCACUCAAUUAAUCACUUAAUUACUUAAUUGCAAUGUAUAUCUUCUUUCAGUGAACUCAACUGAAUUAAGUUCAGAGUACUCAUAACUGUUAAGUUUUAAAACUUAAAUGGUUUAAGGCAAUCGGUUUCCUCAAACGGUUUGAGUAAACCCAACUUGUCAUGUUUUUAAGGAUAUUUGUUUAAACAAAAGGUUUGAGUUACGUUACUUGUCGGGUUUUACAGUGUAGAAAAUAAAGAUAACAAACCAGGAGUGCUGUCUGCAGCCUUUGUCUGCACUGAUCUUAAUUUACAAACGCGUAAUUAAAAUGAAC
rnacentral:lncRNA from 1 species